AUUGAACGCUGGCGGCAUGCCUUACACAUGCAAGUCGAACGGCAGCACGGGAGCAAUCCUGGUGGCGAGUGGCGAACGGGUGAGUAAUACAUCGGAACGUGCCCUGUAGUGGGGGAUAACUAGUCGAAAGAUUAGCUAAUACCGCAUACGACCUGAGGGUGAAAGUGGGGGACCGCAAGGCCUCAUGCUAUAGGAGCGGCCGAUGUCUGAUUAGCUAGUUGGUGGGGUAAAGGCCUACCAAGGCGACGAUCAGUAGCUGGUCUGAGAGGACGAUCAGCCACACUGGGACUGAGACACGGCCCAGACUCCUACGGGAGGCAGCAGUGGGGAAUUUUGGACAAUGGGCGAAAGCCUGAUCCAGCAAUGCCGCGUGUGUGAAGAAGGCCUUCGGGUUGUAAAGCACUUUUGUCCGGAAAGAAAUGGCUCUGGUUAAUACCUGGGGUCGAUGACGGUACCGGAAGAAUAAGGACCGGCUAACUACGUGCCAGCCGCCGCUGUAACAC
rnacentral:rRNA from 1 species